rnacentral:rRNA from 3 species
GUUGGGUAGGGGAGCGUUCUGUAAGCCUGUGAAGGUGGCCUGUGAGGGUUGCUGGAGGUAUCAGAAGUGCGAAUGCUGACAUAAGUAACGAUAAAGCGGGUGAAAAGCCCGCUCGCCGGAAGACCAAGGGUUCCUGUCCAACGUUAAUCGGGGCAGGGUGAGUCGACCCCUAAGGCGAGGCCGAAAGGCGUAGUCGAUGGGAAACGGGUUAAUAUUCCCGUACUUGGUGUUACUGCGAAGGGGGGACGGAGAAGGCUAUGUUGGCCGGGCGACGGUUGUCCCGGUUUAAGCGUGUAGGUGUGUGUUCCAGGUAAAUCCGGUUCACUUUAACACUGAGGCGUGAUGACGAGGCACUACGGUGCUGAAGCAACAAAUGCCCUGCUUCCAGGAAAAGCCUCUAAGCAUCAGGUAACAUCAAAUCGUACCCCAAACCGACACAGGUGGUCAGGUAGAGAAUACCAAGGCGCUUGAGAGAACUCGGGUGAAGGAACUAGGCAAAAUGGUGCCGUAACUUCGGGAGAAGGCACGCUGACAUGUAGGUGAAGUGAUUUACUCAUGGAGCUGAAGUCAGUCGAAGAUACCAGCUGGCUGCAACUGUUUAUUAAAAACACAGCACUGUGCAAACACGAAAGUGGACGUAUACGGUGUGACGCCUGCCCGGUGCCGGAAGGUUAAUUGAUGGGGUCAGCGCAAGCGAAGCUCCUGAUCGAAGCCCCGGUAAACGGCGGCCGUAACUAUAACGGUCCUAAGGUAGCGAAAUUCCUUGUCGGGUAAGUUCCGACCUGCACGAAUGGCGUAAUGAUGGCCAGGCUGUCUCCACCCGAGACUCAGUGAAAUUGAACUCGCUGUGAAGAUGCAGUGUACCCGCGGCAAGACGGAAAGACCCCGUGAACCUUUACUAUAGCUUGACACUGAACAUUGAGCCUUGAUGUGUAGGAUAGGUGGGAGGCUUUGAAGUGUGGACGCCAGUCUGCAUGGAGCCGGCCUUGAAAUACCACCCUUUAAUGUUUGAUGUUCUAACGUGGACCCGUAAUCCGGGUUGCGGACAGUGUCUGGUGGGUAGUUUGACUGGGGCGGUCUCCUCCUAAAGAGUAACGGAGGAGCACGAAGGUUGGCUAAUCCUGGUCGGACAUCAGGAGGUUAGUGCAAUGGCAUAAGCCAGCUUGACUGCGAGCGUGACGGCGCGAGCAGGUGCGAAAGCAGGUCAUAGUGAUCCGGUGGUUCUGAAUGGAAGGGCCAUCGCUCAACGGAUAAAAGGUACUCCGGGGAUAACAGGCUGAUACCGCCCAAGAGUUCAUAUCGACGGCGGUGUUUGGCACCUCGAUGUCGGCUCAUCACAUCCUGGGGCUGAAGUAGGUCCCAAGGGUAUGGCUGUUCGCCAUUUAAAGUGGUACGCGAGCUGGGUUUAGAACGUCGUGAGACAGUUCGGUCCCUAUCUGCCGUGGGCGCUGGAGAACUGAGGGGGGCUGCUCCUAGUACGAGAGGACCGGAGUGGACGCAUCACUGGUGUUCGGGUUGUCAUGCCAAUGGCACUGCCCGGUAGCUAAAUGCGGAAGAGAUAAGUGCUGAAAGCAUCUAAGCACGAAACUUGCCCCGAGAUGAGUUCUCCCUGAGACUU